AUUGAAGUACACAUACUACACAAAAAAAAUUAUAUAUAAGAAAUCCUCAUUAAGCAAAUAAUGUCAACAUACAACAAUACUCAUGCAUAAAAGCUCUAAAAUCCAAACAUUAUAAAAUACAAAUGUCUAAUACUAAUAAAUAAAGUCUAAUUCAAUAAAUACUUAAACAUAGUAAUAAAUAAAGUUUGGAGUUCCCUAAUACUAAUAAUCAUGAUAAGGAUUAAGCGAAAUCAAAGGUUCUUCAUCUUGUUGCACUUGAUUAUUGUCCUACAACUCUUAGUUUGAUUCAAGUUGGCCUUCUUUGCCUCAACUAGGCCUUCAAUUAUGAAUCUUCAGGCCAUUCAUGUUCUCAGUGAAGUCCUCUUCAGAAGAUUGGCUUCUAAGGUGACCACUUUUCAAAUGUAACUCAUUAGCUUUGUCAACUGAAUCCAUCUACAUAUAACAAAGUGAAUCUCCUUAGAUAUUAUUUAACGUCUUGUAAUUACAUUACAUAAACUAUUAGAGUGAGUAUACAUGAGUGAAAAUUUUUAAGUGAUUGGGCAACCUAAACUUUAGUUUUAAUAUUUUAUAAUUAAUUAUUUUUAAAUCCAUAUGUAAAAUCAAUAGGUAAAUUUUUUUUCACGAAUGCACUAAAUGUACAUAUGAAUUUUACAUACGGAAAACCAAAAAAAGAUAUUUUUUGCAACAUCUACGAAAAAAAUUGUAUGUAAUAGUUUUACAUAUCCAUCGACAAAAUCCGUAUGUAAUACCUACUUUACCUAUGGAUCCUAAUUUGUAUGUAAAUAUCUUUAGACAACUCAUAAUUUUCUUGUGGCAAAAAUGUAAUGUAUUGUGAAAUCUAAUCUAUAUUAAAAAAUUUUGAAUAACAUGAAUUUGGGUUUAAAAGUUUUAACAAAAAUAGAUGGAGAUAGUGCCGUCAAAAUGGGUUGAAACCCGUGAGCCAGCCUGGCUCACCACAGGUUUGAGCCGGGUUGGGUUGGAAAAAAAUGCGAAAAUUUUGAUGCGAGCCAAUUUUGACCCGGCUCACUUAGAACCCGACUCAUGCGGGUUGAAUCCGCGGUGGGUCGGGUUGGCUCACCAACCCACCUAUUUUUUUAAUUAAAUCAAAUUAAUUAUUCAAAUCCUAUUUUUUAUUGAAAUCAAAUUAAUUAAAUUAAUUAUUCAAAAUGCACAACCUUUAUUUAGGUUAUUUUUACAAUAUUUAAACAUCCUAUAUAUACAAUAUUUAAACAUAUACGAUAUUUUUACAAUAUUUAAACAUCCUAUAUAUACAAUAUUUUUACAAUAUUUAAACAUCCUAUAUAUACAAUAUUUAACGAUCCUAUAUAUACAAUAGUUUUACAAUACUUUUAAUAAUGAAUAACACGAAAAAAUAUAUACAAUAUUUGUACAAUCACUUAUUUACUUCAUCAAACACUUUUCAUUGUUUAAUAUACACAAUCAUAGCAAUAUAAAAUCAUAUAAAAUAUCCUAUAUAAAAACAUCCUUUAUGUAACUAAGAUUUUUCAGUUUCUUUAUAUUAAUUAUUUCAAAAUAAACACAUGUUACUUAUGAUAACUAAGAUUUUUUUUUAUAUUAAUAAAUACAAAAUAAACACAUGCUACUUAAUAAUUUGAAUUCUUCAGUUUUUUAAAUUUCUUUUAUAUCAAUUGGUUCAAUUAUUAUUGUUUUAAUUUAAUCGAUCAAAGUAACAUGUUAUAAGAAUCUCAGAAGAAGAGGGUGAUAAAAAGUUAAGUGAGUCAAUGAGUCAACCCAUGGUGAGUCGGGUCGGGUUUGAAUUUUUUCGGCUCGCUAAUAAAUGAGCCGGAUUGGGUUGGCUCACUAAGUAGCCAACCCGUGAUGAGUCGGGUCGGGUUGGGCCGGGUUACCCAUUUUGACAGCUCUAGAUGGAGAUGUUACUAAUGUAAACAUUGACACUAUAACAGCUAAUUAUUGUUACGUAGUAUGCCUUUCUUUCUUUAAAUUAUGCAUUUAUGUAUGAUUCUUUAUACGUUAAAUUAUAAAAUUUAUAAUAUGGUCAUUUAGAUCUAUUUUAGCCAAUCCCAAAUAUUCAAACAUUAUCACUAAAAUCAAUUUAUAAGUUGAUAUGGUGUGAUAGAUUGACAAAUUUUAUGUGAUGUAUUAAUUGCUUGAGUGUUUUGUGCUUGGACUACAAUGAGUGAGAAAAAUAAGGAAUCAAUCAUUUGAUCAAAUUGGUGUUCAUUCUGACAUUAAGAAUUCUUUUUUAAUCGAGUAUUGAGUCAAGAAUAUCAAUUUCAUCAUCUUAAGAGGCUCCUGGUUUCCCAAAUCACAUAUUUGAAAUGGAGAUUUUCUGAUAUAGCGUUGAGCAAGACUGAUGUGCACUAAGCGCUAGCUUGAGGUUUUAUAUCUAGAAGCAUUUUAGCUUCAAACAAUUGAGCGCCACUUUUUUUCUGUGAGUGACCACUUUUGAAAAAAAUAAUUAUAUUAAUUUAAAAAAAAUAUUUAAAAAGAUAAUAUCAUACUAUAGUCUUAAUUAAUUAAAUAAAUUUAACUAAUACAUAAAUUUAUUUCGUAGGUAAAUUAGUUUCAAAGUAGGUUUAAUGGUGCAGUUAUUUAAUUUAGUCACUCGGUUAAUGUUUUAUUGCAUCAAUUCUAGGCAUAAUUUUUGUCAAUAUUUUAAAUUUGCACAUAUUUUUAUUUUAAAUCUAUAUUUUAAUAUUGGUAUCAAACUUUGGUAUAUAAACAUCGUCAUCUUGGUUUUUGUCCAAACAUGAUAAUUAUUCCGUUGUGCCGCUCUGAUAAUUGAUAUCAAAGCUUGCUUUGAUAGUUAUUCAAUUUUUUUUUUCAAAAAUGUCUAGAUAAUAUCAAACAUUUGCACAAAGUGCUUCAAUUGACAGACCUCUUCUUUUUGUUGGGAAAAACUAUACUUUUGAAAAAUAAGAAUGCAAACAUUUUUAGAGUCUGUCGAUAUAGGUAUUUGGAAUACUGUUAAAAAUGGUCCUUUUGUUCCUACUAUCAUUGUAAAUAACGUGUAGGAGCCUGAGACCUAUGACUAAUGGACUAUUGAUGAAAAAAAGAAGGCUCAAUGAUGGAAGCGGCCUCCACUUUCAAGAACGGAGCGACUUCUCGAAUCAGAAGUGGCAGCGGAAUGGAGAAUGGCUUGAAGGUGUUCGGUGCAUGCAAGGUGUUUGAGGAAAUGUGUGACUGUGUUUGGAUGUGUGUGUGAGGUAGAGUUCUAACUCAGAAGGCUUUCCUAAGGGGAAAAGAGCUAGAGGAAGAAAGGCUAGAGUAUCUCUUCAUCAAGCUCUGCAUCAAGCAUUAACGACGAUAUAGCUAGAAGUCAAGUAAGUACCUUUAGCUAUUUUGAUAAUUUUAAUUGAAGUACCUGUAAAACACUAGAAGGAUGAGCGCGAGAGGGGGGGUUAAAAUUCCUUUCGCAAUUCUUUUAAUAUAACACGUUUGAAGAGUUUUGGAUUUGCCAAAUGAAUACUUAAAUGCUCGACAUUGUAAAUGCAUAAAGCUUUUCAUAGCUAAAGGGUAUUUAGUUUAACUCUCAAGAAAAUGAAACAAUGUCAAGACGGUGUCAUUGACAAAACACUCUAAAAGACUAAAACUCAAAACACUAAAGAAAACGCAAACAAUGCUAAAUGUUGUCUACCUAUAAAGGAAAAAUCAGAAGAAGCGUUUACUUUGUCUAAAUGAUACCCUGAGCUAAAUGUUACUUUGUCCAACGAUGAAGUUUUUACUCAAUGCUUAGUAUCCUUAGAAGAAAAACUUAAUUGUCAAAGAAAACUAGCAUGCAAAAAAAAUGAAAGGAAGGAGGAGAAAACCAACUUACUCUAUUUGAGAAACUGAUUAGUUUAACUUGCAGAUCUCAAUAUGAGGAUCAUUCAAGCAAUCAGAUAAUUCUAGAAAAGUGAUUUCUAGAGAGAUAGUAUAUCUUAAAAUUAUGAAACUCGUUUAUAAUGAAACUGUUUAUAUUAAAAUCCUUUAAUAUUAAAAUAAUUGACUCUCACUGUUUUAAACCACUCUCAUUUCUAAAAUGUCAUUUUCUAAAUCUUUAUACAUAUUUUAUGUGGAAAGGCAUAUAUCUAUUAAUAAAAACCCUUACGAAAACAUUAGUAUAUAAAGAUUAAAUAAAAUUUUGUUCCUAAAUUAAAAUUAAUUGAACCACAAACUAAAAUUAAUUUAUACAUGAAGUAAUAAUCUUUUCUAAAAAUAGUUCAAAACGUCAUUGUGUCCGUAAACUUUAUUUUUUUAUGUAUAAUAAAAGGUUUAAUACAUAUUUUGAUCCCUCUUUUGGGGGUUUGGUUCAAAAUCAUCCCACUUUUGAAAAAAAUUCUUUAAGGUCCCAUAUUUCAUUAAAAAAUGUUCAAUAUGGUCCUUUUCGUAGACGUCGUUAAAAUCUUAACGGCACAAUAGCUAGCGUGGCGAAACCUGUAUGAGCUGUUUACUUUUAUGCUUACGUGGCUCUCUGAAGUGAAGUGAGUUGGCAAAAAUGUUUAAAGUUGAGGUUGUUAUGUGUAACAAAAGGGUGGGAUAGAAAUGAGUGAAGUGAGUUAGAAACAGUGAAGUGAAGUGAGUUAGGGUUGAACCAUGCCGUUAGCCGCGAAUGCCGCCAGCCGCCAACGUCGUCAACUACGAAUGGCCCUUGCCGUGACCAGAUAUGUCGCCGCCAGGCACCGCACCAGAGAAGGAGGAAGCUUGUCCAUGGUAGCGCCUCUGCCGUUGCGUCGCACCGAGUAACGGCUAUCGCUACUCCGCGAGCUUUCUGAAACGUGAAAUUAAAAUUGCUAGCACCGCCGUCUUUCGCUGCUGCGAGCAACUGCGCUUCUUGCCAGAGUUCACCGUCGCCAGAGAGCAAACGAAAAAAAACUAAAGAAAAUCAGAAAACUAACAACCAUGGAAGGCAAAGCAAGUCGUCGAACACAACUCCACUACAAAGGCGCCACCGCAGCAAGCGUAACCCAUCGGGAAAGAAGCUUUCGCACCUCCGACGACCAUUCUUGCACAAGAACCCCAUUGCAGACGAAAUGGGCCAACUUAAAAACCCAAACAACCGCGACCCAGUUCUUCUUCGUGACGAAAAACGCAAAUGGAGAAAAAGAAAACCAUCGAACUAGAAAUCAGAAUGAAGCAUGGUGAAGAGCACUGAAGGAGAUGAAGCGAGGUUCAACAGAGGUGCGAUGCACCAGAAGGCCAACAACCAUUUCCAAUUUUGGGGUUUCAAAUUGGGAAUUUUCCCAAUUUAAAUUUCUCAUUUUAAUUAGCGUUCUUAAUUGGGUUUCUCCAACACUGCCAGAAAAGAAGAAGGAAACCAGUAGAGUUUCAAUUUGGUGCUUCCCAAAUUAGGUUUCUCAGUAAUUGUAAUCAGCAUAUUCAAUAAUUAGGUUUCUCCAGCACCACCUCAACUUUAAACAUUUUCGCCAACUCACUUUACUUCACUUCACAGUGUCACAUAAGCAUUGAAGUAAACAACUCAUAAAGGUUUCGCCACGUUAGCUACUAUGUCGUUAUGAUUUUAACAGCGUCUACGAAAAGGACCAUGUUAAAUACUUUUUAAUGAAAUAUGAGACCUUAAAGAACUUUUUUCAAAAUUAGGAUGAUUUUGAACCAAACCCCUCAAAAAAAGGAACCAAAUGUAUUAAACCAUAAUAAAAUUAGGAAAAUGUUUCGUGCGCUCCUAAAAUAUUAAUCUACACCUAAAGAAAAAAGUAAUGAUAAAAAAAAAUUAGAUUUAUAAAAUAUACAAUAUAAUAACAAAAGAAUAAAAAAAUAUGUAUAAUAAAUAAAGGUAAUUUUGUAUCCUAUCCAUUAAAUUAAGUCAUAGUAGUUACUCGAAAAUUUACGAUAUAAGUUAAGUUUCCUUAAAAUCAAUUUAGGAUAUACAGAAAGCAUUUUAAGUUUGUUUCUGUAAUUCAUUAAGUUUAAUGUCACAAUUUUGAGAUAACAGAUUUUCUAAGUUGAACACGGCAUAUUAGACCUGAGCAUCGUUGAUGAAUUCCAUGUAACUCAAAUUUAAUAUUUUAAAAUUUAUAGUUAACUAUAUAAUUUAUUAUUUUAUGUUGUGAAUUAAUUUCGUUAGACUAUUUACAUUAUGAAUUAAUUCAAUUCGAUAAUUUAGGUGUAUUUAUAUUAAAUAACGUUUUUUCCAAAAGAUAUAUAUAUUUAUUUUGAAUAAACAAAAUAAAUAUAAUAAACCUUUUUGGUUUAAUGUUUUCGGAGAUUUCUAUUUCUACAUAUUUGUAUCAAUUAGAUUUUCAUAUUCUGAAAAUACUCAAUUGGGUCUUUCUACAUAUUUAUAUUUAUUGGAUCUUAGUAUUUUCAAACUACUGAAUUAGGUCAUUGUAUUAAAGAAUUUUAUUUAAAAUUUAAAAUAAAAUAAAUUUCAUCACAUGUACCACGUGAUAAUUAAUUGUUUAAUUGUUGGAUCACAUGUCACUAUACACUAAAAUUAAUACCGUCCAUUAAAAUUAUGACAAACAUAUUAUUAAUUCAAUUUUACCAAAAUACGAACCUGAACAUCUUUAGAAUACAAGAACAAUACAAAUUCUCUAAAAUAGAGACUUCCGAGAAUAUUAAACAUAAAUCUUUAACUUAAAAUUAUAAUAUAUUAUUUUAAUAAUUAUUAUUAUAAUAAAUUAUUUUAUAUAAUUUACUAUUAAAUUUUAACAAGCAAAUUUCACAUCAACGUCUUUAAAUUUAUAAAUAUUAAAAAUAUAAAAAAAUUAUGUCUAAAUGUUCAUGUAGUUUUAAUUUAGUUUAGUUUUAAUUAUUUAUCCAUAUUAUUUAUAAUGUUAUACUAUAAUAUAAAUUGGUUUAUCCUUAAAUACAUUAAUUUUUCACUUUUGUUCUUUAAAUAAUUACUUUUUAAAAUUAAAAUUAUUAAAUUAUUGAUUUUACCGUUAAAUGACUGUUUUUUAAAUUAAUUAAUUUUUCCAUUUAACUAUUUUUCUAAAUUUAAGUUUUUUAAAAAUUAAAAAAACUAUUUUAUUAUUUUCUAUUAUCAUAAAAAAAAAUUAAAAAAGCAUGUAGUUUCUCAAAUUAUUUUUAUUUAACAUUAUCUGAUCCCUCCAACAAACCUGAAGUUAAUUAUUUUCCAGGCCUAAGACAGAUCCUAAAGUAUCAAACACCUCUUUUAUAAAGAAAGAAGUAAACCUUAAAACUCUCACAGGCAAAAAUCGAGAAAAUAAGUAAAUAAACAAGAAAUCAGUUAAUGAUCUUAAAAUUAAUUUACUUACAGAUCGAAGGAGAGAAAGAAGCCGCCGUACUUGUCUUCUCCGUUCGCCGGAAGCAGCCAUUGAAAGAUAGACAGUAAUCACACGCGUUGUCACAGCAGUGAUACAUGGAAUUGGUGGAAUAGGUAAAACAACAACUAACUAUAAGAUACCUGAGAUUACAGCGGUUGUUGCUUUACCUGACCCUCCAAUCCCAUAAAAUCCAACACAGAGAACCAAGUUUACGCAGAGAUCUCGUCUCGUCACGAACGUGUUGAGCAUUCGCACUGAAACCUUAUCGGAACAGAGAAGGUUAAUGAAGGAAAUUGGGAAAUAGAAAAAUAAGGGAGAAAGUAGUACUGGUUGUGGUAUUUAAAAUUGAGUGAAUGAGUGGGCAUGGACCUUCUUUUGGGCUUUAUAUCAGUGAACCUGACCUCAUGAUUCGUAAAUGUGAAAGGACAGGGCAUCUUUGUGAUUCCGUUAUUAGGACAAUAUAAUAUUUUUUUUAUAACAUUUUAAUAUCAUUUAUAUAUUUAUUGAUCUAAAAUUAUUUCAGAAUCAAUAAUAAUAAUCAUAAAU
rnacentral:lncRNA from 1 species